UACGUAGGGAGCAAGCGUUGUUCGGAUUUACUGGGCGUAAAGGGCGCGUAGGCGACGCGGUAAGUCACUUGUGAAAUCUCUGAGCUUAACUCAGAACGGCCAAGUGAUACUGCAGUGCUAGAGUGCAGAAAGGGCAAUCGGAAUUCUUGGUGUAGCGGUGAAAUGCGUAGAUAUCAAGAGGAACACCUGAGGCGAAGGCGGGUUGCUAGGCUGACACUGACGCUGAGUGCGCGAAAGCGUGGGGAGCAAACAGG
rnacentral:rRNA from 1 species